rnacentral:rRNA from 1 species
AUGGCUUCUCGCUAUCACUUCUGGAUGGACCUGCGGUGCAUUAGCUUGUUGGUGGGGUAACGGCCUACCAAGGCGAUGAUGCAUAGCCGAGUUGAGAGACUGAUCGGCCACAAUGGGACUGAGACACGGCCCAUACUCCUACGGGAGGCAGCAGUAGGGAAUCUUCCACAAUGGGCGCAAGCCUGAUGGAGCAACACCGCGUGAGUGAAGAAGGGUUUCGGCUCGUAAAGCUCUGUUGUUAAAGAAGAACACGUAUGAGAGUAACUGUUCAUACGUUGACGGUAUUUAACCAGAAAGUCACGGCUAACUACGUGCCAGCAGCCGCGGUAAUACGUAGGUGGCAAGCGUUAUCCGGAUUUAUUGGGCGUAAAGAGAGUGCAGGCGGUUUUCUAAGUCUGAUGUGAAAGCCUUCGGCUUAACCGGAGAAGUGCAUCGGAAACUGGAUAACUUGAGUGCAGAAGAGGGUAGUGGAACUCCAUGUGUAGCGGUGGAAUGCGUAGAUAUAUGGAAGAACACCAGUGGCGAAGGCGGCUACCUGGUCUGCAACUGACGCUGAGACUCGAAAGCAUGGGUAGCGAACAGGAUUAGAUACCCUGGUAGUCCAUGCCGUAAACGAUGAGUGCUAGGUGUUGGAGGGUUUCCGCCCUUCAGUGCCGG